UUCAGCUUCAACAGGAUGUUGUCGACAGCAGAGUGGGUGUAGCUGGUUAGCAACACGCUAAAGCCGCACGCGUGUAAGAUGCGAACCUGCAAAGAAGUGAAGUCAUGACAUUGUGAUGCUCGUGCCUGGAGAGAUUGGUGAGAUGAGUGCUGAGACCCAUCACUCCUUCGUCAGCAUCCAAUCGAAACGUUUCCUCCAUGAGCUUUGACAGAUCCCUGCGACAGACAAACGACUCUUAUUUGACUGGAGGCCAUACUGGAACAAUAUAGGUAGCCUGUUGCCAUGGCGAUGAAAUGACCUCCCUGGUCGCUAAGGACGACGCGAUCGCCGCUGGCCAGGCCGCAACCGCUUGACUCGUGCGUCUCGUUCCCCCGCUGGAAAUGAUGAAGGAAAACACCCGAUGGCUGCACACUUGCAGAGCCGAUCAGAUGAAGGUUCCCGAUGCAGCUUCCUUUCUUCUCGCUGGGGGAAGCGAAGCCUUGUUACCUUUCCUCGGGCGUCUGAAGCCACACACGCUUUCGGCCAUUCUUGGCCUCCAUGCUGGCGGCCUCGAGGCUGCACAGCAGCAGCCAGUGGGCGAAAUAAUCCAAGUGCGUGCCAGUCAGGUGACCUGUCUCCAGCUGCAUAAAGUCAUCACUGAGAUCUGUGGAUGUGCCUUCCAACACCCUGGUGAACAAACGAUAUCCAAGAUAGAUGGAGAAGAACUUUGUAACUUUGCAAGAAGUCGGGCCAGGCGACUUCCUUCCACGCCCUUCUGCACGCAGUUGUGGACGUAAUGGGCCAUGGUGUUCCUCAGCUUCAGCAAUUCUAUCGUGAACAAAAAUGAAUGAUGCUUUUUCCAGCCUCGCCUGCCUCAAGGAAUUUUAGUAGGAUCAGACAUUUUGUAAUUUUCAAGCCUCGUAUUGGGUCAAGUGGUUAAGACUGCCCUGCGGUGAUCUCAAUUCAAAUCAUUGACUGGAAGAAAAUUGCGAGCAUGAAAUGUCAGCUUAGUUGAGUGUUGACAAAGCUCGAGAGGAAGUGGCAAUUUGCCGUUGACCUCCAACAUCCCUUGGGCCCAAGGCUAUGGUGUAAUUGAGCAAAACAUACCUUGCCUGAACAUUGUCUGCUUGCGAUGGAUUAUGUUUAAAAAUGUAAUACUACAUUUGGGGACCAGAUUUGCUUUACUAACAGUAUAUAAAAUGGAAUGUGUUCAACGGACAA